rnacentral:rRNA from 1 species
ACUCCUACGGGAGGCAGCAGUAGGGAAUCUUCCACAAUGGGCGCAAGCCUGAUGGAGCAACACCGCGUGAGUGAAGAAGGGUUUCGGCUCGUAAAGCUCUGUUGUUAAAGAAGAACACGUAUGAGAGUAACUGUUCAUACGUUGACGGUAUUUAACCAGAAAGUCACGGCUAACUACGUGCCAGCAGCCGCGGUAAUACGUAGGUGGCAAGCGUUAUCCGGAUUUAUUGGGCGUAAAGAGAGUGCAGGCGGUUUUCUAAGUCUGAUGUGAAAGCCUUCGGCUUAACCGGAGAAGUGCAUCGGAAACUGGAUAACUUGAGUGCAGAAGAGGGUAGUGGAACUCCAUGUGUAGCGGUGGAAUGCGUUAGAUAUAUGGAAGAACACCAGUGGCGAAGGCGGCUACCUGGUCUGCAACUGACGCUGAGACUCGAAAGCAUGGGUAGCGAACAGGAUUAGAUACCCUGGUAGGAUAGCG